rnacentral:rRNA from 1 species
UUUAUGGAGAGUUUGAUCCUGGCUCAGGAUGAACGCUGGCGGCGUGCCUAAUACAUGCAAGUCGAGCGAACAGAUAAGGAGCUUGCUCCUUUGACGUUAGCGGCGGACGGGUGAGUAACACGUGGGUAACCUACCUAUAAGACUGGGAUAACUUCGGGAAACCGGAGCUAAUA